UACGUAGGUGGCAAGCGUUGUCCGGAUUUAUUGGGUUUAAAGGGUGCGUAGGCGGUUUUUUAAGUCAGUGGUGAAAUACGGCAGCUCAACUGUCGAGGUGCCAUUGAUACUGGGAAACUUGAGUACUGAUGAGGUAGGCGGAAUGGACGGUGUAGCGGAUGAAAUGCUUAGAUAUCGUCCAGAACACCGAUAGCGAAGGCAGCUUACUAAGGAGUAACUGACGCUGAGGACGAAAGUGUGGGGAUCAAACAGG
rnacentral:rRNA from 1 species